UAGGGAAUCUUCGGCAAUGGACGAAAGUCUGACCGAGCAACGCCGCGUGAGUGAAGAAGGUUUUCGGAUCGUAAAACUCUGUUGUUAGAGAAGAACAAGGACGUUAGUAACUGAACGUCCCCUGACGGUAUCUAACCAGAAAGCCACGGCUAACUACGUGCCAGCAGCCGCGGUAAUACGUAGGUGGCAAGCGUUGUCCGGAUUUAUUGGGCGUAAAGCGAGCGCAGGCGGUUUCUUAAGUCUGAUGUGAAAGCCCCCGGCUCUACCGGGGAGGGUCAGUGGAAACUGGGAGACUUGAGUGCAGAAGAGGAGAGUGGAAUUCCAUGUGUAGCGGUGAAAUGCGUAGAUAUAUGGAGGAACACCAGUGGCGAAGGCGGCUCUCUGGUCUGUAACUGACGCUGAGGCUCGAAAGCGUGGGGAGCAAACAGG
rnacentral:rRNA from 1 species